GAUGAACGCUGGCGGCGUGCUUAACACAUGCAAGUCGAACGGGAUCCAAGGGGUGCUUGCACUUUUUGGUGAGAGUGGCGCACGGGUGAGUAACACGUGAGUAACCUGUCCUUUUCUUUGGGAUAAGCAUUCGAAAGGGUGUUUAAUACCUUAUGUUCUGUCUGCCUCGCAUGGGGUGGGUGGGAAAGGCUUUGGCCGGAUUUGGGUGGGCUCGCGGUCUAUCAGCUUGUUGGUGGGGUGAUGGCUUACCAAGGCUUUGACGGGUAGCCGGCCUGAGAGGGUGGUCGGUCACAUUGGGACUGAGAUACGGCCCAGACUCCUGCGGGAGGCAGCAGUGGGGGAUAUUGCACAAUGGGCGAAAGCCUGAUGCAGCGACGCCGCGUGGGGGAUGAAGGCCUUCGGGUUGUAAACUUCUGUUGCUCUGAACAAGGCAUGCCAGUGGGUGUGUUGAGUGUAGGGGUUGAUUAGCGCCGGCUAACUACGUG
rnacentral:rRNA from 1 species